rnacentral:rRNA from 1 species
UACGUAGGCAGCAAGCGUUGUUCGGAAUUACUGGGCGUAAAGAGUGUGUAGGCGGUGCUCUAAGUCUGUUGUGAAAUCUCCCGGCUUAACCGGGAGGGUGCGGCGGAAACUGGAGUGCUCGAGGGUGGGAGAGGUAAGCGGAAUUCCUGGUGUAGCGGUGAAAUGCGUAGAUAUCAGGAGGAACACCUGUGGUGUAGACAGCUUACUGGACCACUUCUGACGCUGAGACACGAAAGCGUGGGUAGCAAACAGG